UGGGGAAUAUUGCACAAUGGGGGAAACCCUGAUGCAGCGACGCCGCGUGAGUGAAGAAGUAUUUCGGUAUGUAAAGCUCUAUCAGCAGGGAAGAAAGAAGACGGUACCUGACUAAGAAGCCCCGGCUAACUACGUGCCAGCAGCCGCGGUAAUACGUAGGGGGCAAGCGUUAUCCGGAUUUACUGGGUGUAAAGGGAGCGUAGACGGCCAUGCAAGUCUGAAGUGAAAGCCCGGGGCUUAACCGCGGGACUGCUUUGGAAACUGUGUGGCUAGAGUGCUGGAGAGGUAAGUGGAAUUCCUAGUGUAGCGGUGAAAUGCGUAGAUAUUAGGAGGAACACCAGUGGCGAAGGCGGCUUACUGGACGGUAACUGACGUUGAGGCUCGAAAGCGUGGGGAGCAAACAGGAUUAGAUACCC
rnacentral:rRNA from 1 species